rnacentral:rRNA from 1 species
AACGAACGCUGGCGGCAGGCUUAACACAUGCAAGUCGAACGCCCCGCAAGGGGGGUGGCAGACGGGUGAGUAACGCGUGGGAAUAUGCCCUUCAGUACGGAAUAACUCAGGGAAACUUGUGCUAAUACCGUAUACGCCCUUUUGGGGAAAGAUUUAUCGCUGAAGGAUUAGCCCGCGUCUGAUUAGCUAGUUGGUGGGGUAAUGGCCUACCAAGGCGACGAUCAGUAGCUGGUCUGAGAGGAUGAUCAGCCACACUGGGACUGAGACACGGCCCAGACUCCUACGGGAGGCAGCAGUGGGGAAUAUUGGACAAUGGGCGCAAGCCUGAUCCAGCCAUGCCGCGUGAGUGAUGAAGGCCUUAGGGUUGUAAAGCUCUUUCGUUGGGGGAGAUAAUGACGGUACCCAAAGAAGAAGCCCCGGCUAACUUCGUGCCAGCCGCCGCCGUAAAAC